rnacentral:lncRNA from 1 species
GGAUACACCCCUCUGUAGAGAAAGAAGACCAACAAGAUCCUCCUUCUGCACUUGGGAGCUGGAGGAUGUGCUCAUGUUUUGUAAAGAUGAAUAAGGAAGAGCUACAGUAGCAGGCAUGGUGUUCCCUGCUUGUAAUCCCAGCAACCUGGAGCUUGAGGAGGAAGGCUUGAGAGUCCAGAGCAUCCUGGGCUACAUCUGUCUCAAUGUGGAGCAUCAGUGUUUCCUCGGGCUGGCCAACACUUGAUACUUCCAAAGAGUUCCCUCAGGCACGCAGCAUUGCAACUGCGUACAGCGAAUCUCCUCACCACGGAGUCAGAAGGUGUGUCUGUAUGAAGGUGCUGGAUCCCCUGGAACUGGAGUUACAGACAGUUGAGAGAUGCUGUAUGGGUGCUGGCUACAGUUAAAGAAAUGAAUGUGAGAGGAAAGGGGAGGAGGGAGAAAAACCAGUAUUUAGGAAUCAAAUUCUCAAAAAGUAAUGAAAACAAAGACCCCAUAGAGAACUGAAAAUAAGGGCACACACGGACUGCAACAGUAGCGAGAUAGUGUUAUUUAGAGAAAAGCAACAGUACAGAUUAAAGGGGAUACACUCUGGAGAUCCACAGUAGGGGGUACACCGUGGGGAUAGACAGUAGGCCACAUGGGUUUGGGGCUUUCCUGAGGAAAGGAGCGGCUGGGCACUAGGAGUCUGGGUGACAGAUCUGGGUGAUUCCGUGCUCUGAUCACUAGAUUUAGUGCCUGUUCACCUUUCUUACUGCACAACUGUUGCCUGGAAACAGCCACACUCCUCCCAACCGAAAGAUGGGGAUAGAUGCAUGAUGGGAAGUCUCUAAAUGUAGAGGCAGGUUGGUUGGUUUGUUUUGAGACAGGGCCUUGCAAUUCCCCUGCCUCAGGCUUCUGAGUGCUGAAAUUGUAGGUACAUGUCAUCAUGCCCAGCUUAUGCAAGGUUAAUUUUAUACAGUAUGUUUUCAGUGACCUUAUGAGCUAGGAAUUGAUGUUAAACCAGAAAAACCUUAAGAUCUAGUCAAAUAUUUGAGUCUAGGGCUGAGGGUACAGCUCAGUCGGUAGAGAGCACUGGCCUGGUAUGCCUGCGUUCAGUCCCUACCGCCACUUAAAA